UCCUCACCGCAGGAGGUGCAGGGACGGGUUACUGGGGUUCGGAAGGAAAAACCGACUCAGAGCAGCAAAGCUGCUGCCCAAGGUCACACAGCAAGGAAGUCCCCGGGCUGAAACCCGCCCCUGAGAUGGAGGGAGGGCGGGGCUGGAGGGGGGCGCCAGGGGCAGGAGGACCAGGACUCACAUCCCCUGCUCAUCAGACCAUCAUACCCACCGUGACCCGGUAAAACCAGUGAUAAACUGGAAAGCCAGACUCCAGGGAGGGAGAGAGCAAGGCAUGAGAGCAGGAAAGGAAGGCUGCCUGGAGGAGGAGGCACUGCAGUUGAACAUUCAACCAGGGAGCACGAGGACAUCAAGGGUUCAAAGGCACCUCACAGCUGGCCGCGCAGACCACCUCCCGCCCAGUCCCCAGCCAAUGUCUCCAGCUUUCCGGCGGGAGCUUUUCCGCGUGUGCAACAGGAUUGGCCGGAAUGGUGCCACCUGCCUGUUCUCGCACAGCCAGGUCUCCUGACCGUUUCUGGAAAGUUCCCCUAAUGACUAGCCCCUUGGACAUUUCUCUGCCUGUAAACUUUCUAGAACUCCCGCAGGAUGAGAUCUGCUCCAGCACCUCCGUGACUCCCCGUUUUUAUAGAGCAAAGGCAGUUUUCCAAGGCCUCUGCUGUUGUCCAGCCUCAGCAACACCACUCCAGUGACCCUCCCCAGUAUGGAGAAACUGAGACCUGGGAAGGCGAAGGUGGCUUACAGAAGACACAACACUGUGGAAUGAAGAGGCUGGAAGGAGCAGUGUCUGCAGGGCCACGGAGCUCACAGCCAGCCCUUCCUCCCACUACCCAGAGAAGAGGCAGGCUGGUGGCCCCCACCUCCAGGGUGUAACUUGCCAGGGUCUUGCGAGAACAUUCAGAGAGGAGAGUUCAUAUGCCAGCCUGUGAAAGGCUGCAGAAAAUCAAACAUGCUCCCGCGUCACUACAGGGACCCCACGCUCAGAAGUGUGACAAAAUCAGGCGACAGGCCCCAAAGAAAUCUAAUCAAGUAAGCCUCUUCUCCUUGGUAUCUUUGGAGUCAGCGUUCUGGGGAAUGUGUGUUUGCAGAAGGAUUUGAUGUAUUUGCUUCAGGCAAAUCUUUGCCUUUUCUCUGCCUGCAGUUCUGGUACAAAAGGGAAGAAACUGACAGAACCAGGUCUGAUGGUGGGCACUGGGCACUGCACCCCGCAGCACCCUGGCUUUUCUGCAGGGGACACCUUAUCCAGUGCUCUGCAUAAUGGCAGCCCCACUUUACCUGCUCCAGGAGGGGGAACGAUGCCCAGCACUGGAGAGGCUUCAGGUAGGAAGGAAAAGAUCCAGUGGUCACUGCUGCUGAAGCCUGUGGGCUAGCUGGAGUGGGGGCAGCGUGGGGAGCUUGUUCUGGGAGGAUCCUGAAAACAGAAGGAGGGGACAUCACCCAGAAAUGUCAAUUUUGUUUUACAAGAUAACUACAUAAUAGUUGGGGUAGCCUUGUGGGUAGUGAGUACCCCACCUGGGGAGGUAUUCAAGGACAGGUUGUGUGUGUGUGUGUGUGUGUGUGUGUGUACACAUAGCCAUGACUCAGGAAAAACAUCAGCUGAGGCAACUUUGAAGUCUUUUUCAGUAUUG